UGGAAAAGCUGAGUGCAGCAGUUAGCUUCAAUGCGAACAUACCAGGGAUGAGAAGGAAAGAUGAGGGGUGUGGACAAUAUCAGACUGUGGAAAAGCUGAGUGCAGCAGUAAGCUUCAAUGUAGACAUACCAAGGAUUAGAAGCAAAGAUGAGUGGUGUGGACAAUAUCAGACUGUGGAAAAGCUGAGUGCAGCAGUUAGCUUCAAUGUAGACAUACCAAGGAUUAGAAGGAAAGAUGAGUGGU